rnacentral:pre_miRNA from 1 species
AAUAUAUUCCCUCCGUCUCAAAAUUCUUGUCUUAUAUUUGUUUAAAUAUGAAUGCAUCUACCCAAGUUUUAGUAUUUAGAUACAUCCAUUUCAAGACAAAGCUAAGACAAGAAUUUUGGGACGGAGGGAGUAGAUA